GUUGACCUCGGAUCAGGUAGGACUACCCGCUGAACUUAAGCAUAUCAAUAAGCGGAGGAAAAGAAA
rnacentral:rRNA from 1 species